AGAUUCACUGCAGAGGACGAGAUCAAGCAGAGAAAAACAUCAACCUAGAUAAAAGAAGAGAAACUACGAGUGAAUCAUCAUGAUUGCAAAGAUUUGUGUCGUCCUCCUUCUGUUUGUUGCCUCUGGCAACGCACAGACCACAACAGCAACUACAGC